GUGUCAGCCGCCGCGGUAAGACGUAGGAUGCGAGCGUUGUCCGGAUUUAUUGGGCGUAAAGAGUUCGUAGGUGGUUUGUUAAGUCUGGUGUUAAAUACUGAAGCUCAACUUCGGAACUGCACUGGAUACUGGCAGACUUGAGUACGGUAGAGGCGAGCGGAAUUCCCAGUGUAGCGGUGAAAUGCGUAGAUAUUGGGAAGAACACCGGUGGCGCAAGCGGCUCGCUGGGCCGUUACUGACACUGAGGAACGAAAGCUAGGGGAGCAAAUGGGAUUAGAAACCCUCGUAGUCC
rnacentral:rRNA from 1 species